UACGGAGGGUGCGAGCGUUGUCCGGAAUCAUUGGGCGUAAAGGGCGCGUAGGCGGCCGUCCCAAGCGUGCGGUGAAAGUCAGGGGCUCAACCCCUGAUCGGCCGUGCGAACUGGGGGGCUCGAGCACUGUAGAGGCAGGCGGAAUUCCGGGUGUAGCGGUGGAAUGCGUAGAGAUCGGGAGGAACACCCGUGGCGAAGGCGGCCAUCUGGAACGGUACUGACGCUGAGACGCGAAAGCGUGGGGAGCGAACAGG
rnacentral:rRNA from 1 species